CCUUAGGGUUGUAAAACUCUUUCAGUGGGGAAGAUAAUGACGGUACCCACAGAAGAAGUCCCGGCAAACUCCGUGCCAGCAGCCGCGGUAAUACGGAGGGGGCAAGCGUUGUUCGGAAUUAUUGGGCGUAAAGGGCAUGUAGGCGGUUCGGUAAGUUAAAGGUGAAAUGCCAGGGCUUAACCCUGGAGCUGCUUUUAAUACUGCCGGACUCGAGUCCGGGAGAGGAUAGCGGAAUUCCUAGUGUAGAGGUGAAAUUCGUAGAUA
rnacentral:rRNA from 1 species